GUCACAUCUUCCCUGUGUGUUUCCAAAAAUAAACUACACUUAGGUAGCAGGGGACAGUUUCGCACUAUAGGCCCGGAUACCCCAUAUCUGAAGUGAUAUUACAACUUUUUUAAAAAAAAUGGAAAUACCCUUUGAAGUGAUAUUACAUGUGUAAAAAUGUAUAGAAUAAUUUUGGGAUGCAUGUCAAAUGUAGCUGAGUGCUUAGUAAAAAUGUUGAUAUACAACAUGUAGGUGUCACCAUGAUUCCUAGCAUAUAGAUGGGUGCAAAUAAGAAACUAAGACACGUGGUCAGUUGCUGAAGAAAUUCCGGUGAAAACAUGGAGGGUCCAGCAAAAGGUCUGUAGCUGAGACGGAAGAUGGAUGGCCCCAUAUGAAAGAACCAAGGAAACUGUCCCCUGCCACCUUAGAGAGACCAAGGAUGGUAACCCUUGUCUGACAAUUUAUAUUUCUAAAUCCAUGGAGUGCAUUUCUGCAAGACAAAUCUCUACUUCAGUGUGGUGGACGAGUGCAGGAAGUGCAGAAUCUCGCCUGCUCCUGGUAUGGUGCAUUUUCUGAUUCCUCUAAAACAACGCAAUACUUUUUUGUACAAUAAUCAGUACUUAUGCCGUGUUAAUGGGUGCUCUAGGCACUUGCAAUACGAGUUCAACAAUAAAUUCAGCCGUCAGAACAGAAACCCGGAGUGAGACUGGCGCUGGAGGGCGUUUUCAAAAUAAUAUUUAAAAUUAAUGAUUUACAGCAGAAAGACACGACAAGUAAUACGAAGUUUAGAGAUCUUCGAAGUAAUCUGCCUAUCGUUCCUAAUAAUUCUCCAAGUGUUACACUUGAAGGCUUUCUUGUACAGAUGUGGACAUUUCAGUUGAUAAAGUGUGUGGUUAUUUUCUAUGGUACCGGUGAAUAAAUAUUACAAUUUUGAAUCAAGUUGUGGUGAACAUAUUAACUGGCUCAAACACGUCCACAUAUUACAGAAACAUGCAUAUAAUGAACUUCAGUUUGCUUAUUUUACUGAGAAGGCAAUGAAUCGUUGGUUCUUGAUCGAUUUCCAUGGGAGGAUCAUUGAUUAAAUUUUAGUCUAGGGGUGUGAAAUAUCCGAGAGGCAGGUGGUCUAGGGCCCGCUUAUGGGCUCCGAGUGGCCAAUAAAGGGUCCAAGGCAAAGUCGAUCCUAAUGUUCACCCUGGGGGUAAUGCCCCCCUCUCCCAGCUCCCGUGUUUUACAGUAUUUUGAUAACGAAAUCUGGUUUAGUAAUUGUAGUAGCUUUAGUACACAUACAUGUACGUUAUAAACACACUUUAUUGAAAUAUUCACUUGUAGGAAUAUAUCACAAAUAAGAAAAUAUGAUAUAUACCAUUACUGGAUAAUUACUUUCUGUCACCUCGCAGUGAGCAGACAUAACUGUCAUGGAACAAGGGGUCGUCAAUACGGGACUGCGAUCCCGAAGAUUCCAUUUUCUUAAAAUCGUUGAUAGGAGACACCAAUUGACACCUGCAUAGAUUCUUCAGACGAAAAAAAAAAAAAAACCAACCACACACACCAAAAAAAAAAAAAAAAAAAAACCCAGCCAAGACAAACCACUGCAGGAAUGGGAAGAGCUAACUGUAGUUAGCAAUUAACAUGAACAUAUUUCUUACACAGAAAAUGUUUAUGCAGUCAUCAAGUACAAUUUGCCAGGGUUUCUACUUCUUCUUUUCAUUUUUUUUUUAAUUCUUAGUUUAUUGCUCAUAUCAAUACAAACAGUACCAUCAGUAGUACAGUAGCACUGACACAAAGCAUUACAUUGCAGAAAAGAUAUAAAUACAAAUUACAAUAGUCUUAUGAAAUUUUCAAUAGCACUUGUUUUCAAUACAUAAUUACUAUACUUUAUAACUUUACACCACAAAACUGUACACGUUUUGACAUGAUUUAAUUCCGCCAGGAUUUCUUGAAAUAAGAAUAUGUCCAGCUGAAACGUACACCAGCAUAUUAUAAACGCAAUUACGGUUUGACGAAAACAUGUUUUGAUAUUUCUUUUAAAAAAACCAAAAAAAAAAAAGAAAAACCAAAAAAAAAACAAAACCCAACGUGAUAUUUUAAUGAACUGAAUCUACAUUAUUUAUGUUUUUAUUAACACGUACUCAAAAAAAAAAAAAAAUGAAUUAAAUUGCGUUCUGAUGAAAGACACAUAAUUGCAUUAAACUUUGAAAAUUUUAAGGGGUCCCCCUUAAUCCGCCGGUGAAGUCACCUUACAUGUUGGAGUGUAGGCGUGGCCUAAAUCUAAAUUCACUUAUUAAAAAAGGUUAAACCUAAGUUGUAUAGUACUCUCAAUUCUUUUCAAAGAAUAUUAAUAAUGUUUAAUUUCAACACGGCAAUAGACUGUUAUAAUGUAAGAGUUAUGGUGUUUUUCAUUACGAUAUAGUGUGUUAAGGUUGACCUUUUCGCACGUAAAAUCUUAUGUUGAUUUAUUCACAAUAACAAAUUCUUUCUGUCGGCACUCCAUAAGCAAUAUGAAAUACAAAUUAAUCAUUAAACUAAAUCAAUGCCCACUCAUAUCUUAAUUCCCACAACACAAAUUAAUCAUUAAACUAAAUCAAUGCCCACUAUCUUAAUUCCCACAAUACAAAUUAAUCAUUAAACUAAAUCAAUGCCCGCUCAUAUCUUAAUUCCCACAAUACAAAUUUAGAAAAAAAGGGUUUCAUAUGAAUUGGCUGGAAAUAAAUGAGAACGUUUUCACACUUUUAACAUGUAAGGGGCCUCCGUGGCCGAGUGGUUAGAGCAUCGCGCUCAAAAUCACACGGUCGUAAGUGAGAAAGUUCCCUAGUUUACUUUCGGAAGGUCGGUGGUCUCUUCCCAGGUACAUUUUAUCUGGGUUAUCUCUUCCACCAAUAAAAACUGGGCCCCACCAGGUAGAUAAAAAAUUGUUGAGUGUGGCGGAAAACAUCAAUAUAACAUGUAAAAAAAAAAACAACCCCAUCCUCAAUAGUAAUUUGAAGAAUUGAAGAACAGUUUAGGAGUUUAUAUUUUUGAAUGUAGUUUUAGAAAUUUCAACAAAGUUGCCAUUUCUUGACACAGAGGCUAAGAUAAAGCAUGAAACUAUGGACGAUAAUAAUUUCAAAGGAAAUAGAAAUGAGAAAAUUAUAUAGGUUUACUUUCAUUUUGAUACAAAAAACUGUCUACCACAAAAUAUAUUCCUAUCUACUUGUAUACUCUUUCUAAAUUGGAAUUGGUUUUGUUCUCAAAAGUAAAAAAAAAAGUACUUUAAGACAACACAGUGACAUGUCCAGUUUAAAUCACAAUGUCCUUCAAAUGACCACUGGAUUAACGUGUGCCAACAUUUCAAAACAAAAGUUUGAAUGACCAAAAUUAAUUUAUCUAUUCAUCAGCAUAAUUCAGUUGAAUAGAAAGAGACUAAAAUGGAACACCACUAGGUCACUAACACGACCACUGUGUCACUGGGUCAACCUAUGCCCAGGACGGACAAGGCACUUGAGAAACAGAUUGCUAAUUUUAACCGUUGUGAAAUUGAGUUUCUCUAAUGAGAAAUUCUCACGUCAUAUCUGUGUCGGCUAACAAAAUACAGUGUAAAUUUGUUCUUCUUUAUUUAGGACAAAAUUACUGUAGAUGGCGACCUUAAAUAAAUAUAAAAUCUUUCACGGUAGUCGCUAACGAGUGUGACAAAAACGAAAGAAAGUUGCAAAUCAAAUACGAGCAGAUGAACAGAUCGCUCAACUUUUGACCUUGUAAAUGGAGAAAAUUUAUUAAUAUUUACCUUUUAAACACAAGCAUCUUGCUUUUCACAAGGGGUGCACUUUUAAAGAAAGUUCAUGUUUGCACACGAUUUCAGUUAAAAGAUAUAUUCAUUUGAUGUUUCUAGAUGUCUAAUUUUUAAGUGUUUUCUACAUGUAUGACGAGUUGUGCGUGAUUGCUUAGGCAACUAUAUUAGGAUUUGUUUUUCCAAAAAUACCUUACCUCUUACGUGUAAUAAUAAUGAAAUAAGACGUGCAAUUUUGCAUAACAUCAAGAAAUAACAAAGGUGAUUAUAGCCUACGAUGUAGACUUAAAGUUUUUAUGUUCAUUUGUUUUUUUUUGUUUUUUUUUAAUGUACGGACUUAUUAAUUGUAAUAAAACAUAGAGACUUGUAAACCAUCGGCUUCCCAAUUAAAUAUGUUGGUCUACAUCCGCUGUACAGGGCACUCGUACGGCCAGUCUCCUUUAAAUUGUUUGAAGUUCUGUUUUUACAUCCUUGAUGCUGACAUUUCCAACACCUAGAACUAAGCCCAUUUUAUAUCAAUAAUAUUAUCAGGAGUGAUUCUACCUAGUCUGUAUUUCUGGUUGUUUAUUCAAAUACUUAUCGUUUCUUUACACAUCGACUUCUAAUAAAAAAUUGCCAGUUCUCGAGUGACAGUCCCCCGACUUUCUAGGACAGAUUUUGGACUAGCAAGACAAGAGUUGUAUUUCGGUUCGCUAAUUCGUAAUCCUCAUGAUCACUCAAACAGCAUGCAUUCACUCUUUGUAGUUAAGUUUGUACCUGACUUCUUAUGAAUUAAAGAUUUCAAAGGCAAAAAUAACUUAAACAGCAAUUUUAUAUUAGCAUGAAACAAGGAAGCUGCUAAACACGACUGCCCAUUAACACAUAGUAAUAAAAAAUGAAUUGACAUCCAAACAAAUCAUUCUUUGACUUCAAAAGGCUCUGACAGCUUUCUUCAAUAUCGGAGAGUAUUAAUAAAGUGUUAGUUCUAAGAUGAAUUUGUUAUAUAUCAAAUUGUAGGAAAUAUUUAACUGUAAUGAAGUAUAAUUUGAGAAGCAAAUUAUUGUUUAUGAAAAUAGACCUUGAAAACAUAAACACUAGACUUGAAAACAUAAACACUAGACUUGAAAACAUAAACACUAGACUUGAAAACAUAAACACUAGACUUGAAAACAUAAACACUAGACUUGAAAACAUAAACACUAGACUUGAAAACAUAAACACUAGAUUUGAUAUUACAACUGUAGUGCUGUUUAUUCAUGAAAGUAUGACCUUGAAAACUAAUGGGCAUUUUCCUCUUUUCAUGGGACACAUGUAUACUAGCUUUGCUCAUUAUAGCCGUAUUAGUACUUUUUAUCCUUUUCACUAGGUUUUGAUGGAUCAAUAGGCAGACAACAAACAUAUAUAACUGCACUGUACCAAUUAUAAUACAAAACAUCUGCGAAGGUUGAAUAUGUGUAUGAAGUUUAAAUUAUCCCGGCCUCAUCAGUAUCAUUUCUCUCUGGUUUUGUGCCUACACGUUUACUAUAUACUGUAUGUUUUCUGAUGAAUGUCCAUCUGUUGUAUCACAUAAAAUAUGCAAAGUACUUUGCAUGUACACGC